rnacentral:rRNA from 1 species
GACGAACGCUGGCGGCGUGCCUAAUACAUGCAAGUAGGGCGCAGUUGCGAACGGGUUAGUAAAGCGUAGGUAACUACCUAUUAGAGGGGAUAACUAUUGGAAACGAUAGCUAAUACCGCAUAAUAGUAGAUGGACUUGCGUUGUAUUAGCUGGUCGGUAGGGUAAUGGGCGACCUAGGCAACGAUACAUAGCCGACCCGAGAGGGUGAUUGGCCACACUGGGACUGAGAACCGGCCCAGACUCCUACGGGAGGCAGCAGGAGGGAAUCGUCGGCAAUGGGGGGAACCCUGACCGAACAACGGCGGGUGAGUGAAGAAGGUUUUCGGAUCGGAAAGCUCUGUUGUGAAGGAAGCGGUACUUAACCAGAAAGGGACGGCUAACUACGUGCCAGCAGCCGCGGUAAUAC